rnacentral:rRNA from 1 species
CACGUAGGGUGCGAGCGUUGUCCGGAUUCAUUGGGCGUAAAGAGCUCGUAGGCGGCUUGGUAAGUCGGGUGUGAAACCUCCAGGCUCAACCUGGAGACGCCACUCGAUACUGCCAUGGCUAGAGUCCGGUAGGGGCCCACGGAAUUCCUGGUGUAGCGGUGAAAUGCGUAGAUAUCGGGAGGAACACCAGUGGCGAAGGCGACUACCUGGCCUGUUCUUGACGCUGAGGCGCGAAAGCUAGGGGAGCAAACGGG